CUAGGAAGUCCCCAAGAGCAUAGGAGCCCAGGGACCUCGCAGGAGGAAGCAGCAGUAUCUGUGUUCCAAAUCCUGCCCAGCCCCCAGGCAGCCAUAGCUCCUGCCCCCAACAGGAUUCCUCACAUCCCAGGACCAGCUGGAAAACGCGGUGAGAGUUGGAAAGAGACUGCUCAGUGAGGACUGCCCUGUGAACCAGCUUGGAUUCAUGGCAUUCACCUCCACGUUCUGCACGCAGGGCCAAGGGAAGGGAGGCAGCCCAGGCAGCUACAGAACUUGAUGAAACACACUCAAUCUGAAUCUCGCUUGAUCGUCAUGCUGACCCAGUGAGUCUACUCAGGGUCAGGCACCCUUCCCGACUACUCACUCAGCAGCGGAUCUCCACCCGCCUCUGACUCCCAGUGUCUUUCGGCUCCAACGUAAGUUCACCGAACGUCUAAGAGCUGAGGAUUCAAAGGCAUGUACGACCGCCCGUGCCCUCAGCUGCAAGACCUGUCCGCGAUCCUAUGAGCCCCAUUCCGCCCUCUUUCCCCGACCUUGGUCCCCCAUGGGCCCUACAACCAGGUCCCCGACUGACACCUUGACCAGCGAACACAGCAAACAGGCCCUUAGAUGCCGCAGGUCCUUCGGCACCGUCUCCAGGGCCAUCUUCGCCGAUAGGAAGAGCAACAGGGAGAUAGACGACAACAGCCUGUGCACCCGCAGGAAGUAAAUAGCUCGUUACCCAGAAUCCCCGCCACUUCUGGCGCUUAGACUUCCUCUUCCGGUGUGGGCGGGCGCCGGCUCCGCCCCUACCCCCGCCAGAGGAGAUGGUUUCUCCCACCGGCAGGCGGGGAGGCGGGGCGGCCGGCCGCCACCUGGGCCGGGGCGCGUCCCAGCCACCUGAGCCCGCCGAGGGCGCGGCGGAGGCUGUGUAGGGUAGUCAGCGGGCCCCCGGCGGGGGGGACGGAGGGGGCGGCUGCGCUUGCGCGGGAGUGUGUCGGGCUGAGCCGCAGCGCCGAGACGCGGGCCGUUUGAUCUGGGCUGCUGGCCCUGGGCGCCGGUCCUGUUCCCCGAUGGUAACCCGAAGUUUUUUUGUUUUGUUUUGUCUUCCCGUUGUAGAAGCACUGGGGGCAGUGAAUCCACUGUCUCCCUCUGGAUUAUGUCUGGAGAGACCCAGAACGAAUCCAGGGACAGCCCCACCCCUCCUUCCUAACUGCGAGAGCGCUAUAGGGUUUCCACUUGCUUCCCACAGGAAUGCUGGCCUGGGAGCUACGGCGGAAAAAAUGCGUAUUUAUCUUUUAAAACUCCGUCUGUUUGCUCGUUCCGGCUCAUAAUUUAUACUUUGGGCAGUUCUUAGCACUUAGACACGGUUCCUUUACUAAAGAACAUUUGUAGAAGAUUAGGUGUCCUUUUUUCCGCUUUCAUUUCGCCGUCUAGGAAGCGAAAUGCCUUGUUCUAUAGGCACCAAACCACCACCCCUACCAAACCUUUCUCGGGGAAGCAGAAGGGGAACUUGUGCCUUGUGAGGAAGCGACAAAGGCCCUUUCUGGCCCUGGAGACUUCAUGCCAAUGGAGCACCAGCUGUCUGUCCUCGCAAUAGCCCGAGUGCAGGCAGAACGCGGUCAUUUGUGUUUAUCUGAGAGGAGCUUUGGGAUAUAAAUAGUUUCAGGCCCCGCUGCUCUAUCAUUCCAGCCCAGCCUCCUGAUUGAGCUGCUUCUGGGCGGGCUUGCUUCUUGUUGACGGUCCCAUGCUGUGUUCAGAUGGGCUCUGUGACAGGUUUGGAUGUUUUCUAUCACUGAAUAAAACUUUCCACUUUGGAACAUAUUUUCUACACUCUAUUAUCUCAUGUAAGUCCUGCAACAACUAUGAAGUAGGCCCAUUUUAUGGACUGAAAAAGCGAGGCACAGAGUAUUUGCGCAAGGUCAAAGUCACUGAAGUAUGAUAAUGUGUGAAGUGAACAGUAUAAUAAUAUGACUGAAGCACAGUAAGAAUCCAGUCAUGCUUUCUCCUUCCCUGAGCUCACUAAGCCACACUUUUAGGGGCUUACAAACCAGUUCUUAUUGCCAAGCCCUCUACUCUACCCUAUCCUUUCAUAAAUCGGAGCCUAGCCUCUGAUAACAGAAAUAAUUUAUUUCUUUUGAUGUAGAAAGAGAUGAAGUUGUUACCCUGAGUGACAGUCACGACAGAACAAAACCACAAGACCAGACCACAUUUGUGGAUAAAUAUAUUAGCAAAUAAAUAUAUUUCUUAACAUA
rnacentral:antisense_RNA from 1 species